rnacentral:rRNA from 1 species
GUUUGAUCCUGGCUCAGGAUGAACGCUAGCGGGAGGCUUAACACAUGCAAGCCGAGGGGUAUAGUUCUUUCGGGAACUAGAGACCGGCGCACGGGUGCGUAACGCGUAUGCAACUUGCCUUACUGAAAAGGAUAGCCCUUCGAAAGGAGGAUUAAUACUUUAUAACAGAUUUAAUGGCAUCAUUAGAUUUUGAAAGAUUUAUCGCAGUAGGAUAGGCAUGCGUAAGAUUAGUUAGUUGGUGAGGUAACGGCUCACCAAGACGAUGAUCUUUAGGGGGCCUGAGAGGGUGAACCCCCACACUGGUACUGAGACACGGACCAGACUCCUACGGGAGGCAGCAGUGAGGAAUAUUGGACAAUGGGUGGAAGCCUGAUCCAGCCAUCCCGCGUGUAGGAUGACGGCCUUAUGGGUUGUAAACUACUUUUAUCUGGGGAUAAACCUACUUACGUGUAAGUAGCUGAAGGUACCAGAAGAAUAAGCACCGGCUAACUCCGUGCCAGCAGCCGCGGUAAUACGGAGGGUGCAAGCGUUAUCCGGAUUUAUUGGGUUUAAAGGGUCCGUAGGCGGAUUAAUCAGUCAGUGGUGAAAUCUCAUAGCUUAACUAUGAAACUGCCAUUGAUACUGUUAGUCUUGAGUGAUGUUGAAGUUGCUGGAAUGUGUAGUGUAGCGGUGAAAUGCUUAGAUAUUACGCAGAACACCAAUUGCGAAGGCAGGUGACUAAACAUAAACUGACGCUGAUGGACGAAAGCGUGGGGAGCGAACAGGAUUAGAUACCCUGGUAGUCCACGCCGUAAACGAUGGAUACUUGCUGUUGGAUUUUCGGAUUCAGUGGCUAAGCGAAAGUUAUAAGUAUCCCACCUGGGGAGUACGUUCGCAAGAAUGAAACUCAAAGGAAUUGACG